CCCACCCAAAGUUAUAUUUUUCUGCCAGCUUCGUGCCCCCCAGCUAAGGUUAAAUACAUCUGCCGGCUAAUGUUUGCCACCUGUGUGCCCCCCCAAGGUUAAAUAUUUCUGCCGGCUAAUGUUUGCCACCUGUGUGCCUCCCACCCAAGGUUAAAUAUUUUAUGCCAGCUGUGUGCCCCCAGCUAAGGUUAAAUAUUUCUGCCGGCUGUGUGCCCCCCACCCAAGGUUAAAUAUUUCUGCCAGCUAAUGUUUGCCACCUGUGUGCCCCCCAAGGUUGAAUAAUUCUGCCAGCUGUGCCCCCCAGCUAAGG
rnacentral:lncRNA from 1 species